rnacentral:snRNA from 1 species
UUAUUUGCGCAGUGGCAGUAUCAUAGCCCAUGAGGUUAAACUGAGGCAUGAUUAUUGCUAGUUGAAAACUUUUCCCAACUAAAAUUAAAUGAGGCACAUUCAUUUAGUUACUAAGUC